AUGACGGAUUUGGUGGAGGAGAGGAACUCCCUCAAGGACGAAAAGAGGAGCCCUGUGUACAGAAAAGGAGAGCGCCACAUGAGGAGGAGCUAUGGCCACAUCCAACGUAUCAACGCCGACGUCAUCGAGGGGCAUAAGGCGGCGCGAGCUGCCACACAGGACGGUGCCUCCAGCACCGACGAUGAUGACUUGCUGGACGUGCUACUCAGGCUCCAGGAGAAGGACGCGUUCACAUUCCCUAUGACCACGGAGAGUAUAGGUGCCGUCUUAUUUGACAUAUUUGAAGGUGCCACACAGACCACGGGAGUUGCCUUGGAGUGGGCAAUGUCUGAGCUCGUCCGUCAUCCCGAAGCCAUGGCCAAAGCACAGAGUGAGAUCCGAGAGGUGCUAGGUCAAGGUCGAGCUGUGAUUACUAAUAGUGACCUCGCUGGACUCCAUUACAUGUGGAUGAUCAUUAAGGAGGUUCUUAGACUGCAUCCACCAGUUUUGAGGGAUCCAAAUUGUUGGGAAACUCCUGAAGAGUUUAAGCCUGAAAGGUUUGAGAACAAUAACAUGGAUUACAAUGGGACAUACUUUGAAUUCACCCCCUUCGGUGUUGGUCGGAGGCAGUGCCCUGGGAUACUAUUCGGCACGUCAACUAUGGAGAUCGCCAUGGCAAAUCUUCUCUACCACUUCGACUGGGUGCUUCCUGGCAAGGCAAACCCGGAAUUUUUGGACAUGACCGAGAAAUAUGGGAUCAUCGUAGCAAGAAAAUAUGACCUACAAUUGAUACCUAUUUCCCGUGGAGGUUUCCAUGCCACAUAG
rnacentral:rRNA from 1 species